GCACCAGAUCUUCAGGGUGAACCAGCCUUCCUGGAACUCAGCAAGUCCCGUCUGUCACUGAGAGACCUGAAAAUAAAACAGCUCCAAUGGCACCAACUACAGAAAAAUAAAACGAACCGAAGUUACCACUCGCCCAGACUGGUGAUGAUUGCAGCUCCUCUCCCUCAUCACAGCUCUGCAGCUGUUUGUUGUCAGAGUGGAAAGUACAAGCCCUGGCAUUUCUCCUCUCUGCCGUACUCUGGAUGGC
rnacentral:lncRNA from 1 species